rnacentral:rRNA from 1 species
UACAGAGGGGGCAAGCGUUGUUCGGAAUUACUGGGCGUAAAGGGCGCGUAGGCGGUCCUGUAAGUCCCGCGUGAAAUCCCCCGGCUCAACUGGGGAACUGCGCGGGAAGCUGUGGGGCUUGAGUUCGGGAGAGGGAAGCGGAAUUCCGGGUGUAGCGGUGAAAUGCGUAGAUAUCCGGAGGAACACCGGCGGCGAAGGCGGCUUCCUGGACCGACACUGACGCUGAGGCGCGAAAGCUAGGGGAGCAAACGGG